rnacentral:rRNA from 2 species
CACCGGCAGCUCAAGUGGUAGCCAUUUUUAUUGGGCCUAAAGCGUUCGUAGCCGGUUUGAUAAGUCUCUGGUGAAAUCCCACAGCUUAACUGUGGGAAUUGCUGGAGAUACUAUUAGACUUGGGGUUGGGAGAGGUUAGCGGUACUCCCAGGGUAGGGGUGAAAUCCUGUAAUCCUGGGAGGACCACCUGUGGCGAAGGCGUCCAGCUGGAACGAACCUGACGGUGAGGGACGAAAGCCAGGGGCGCGAA